GGCAGAGUAGAGAAAUGGUAUCUCGCAAGGCUCAUAACCUUGAGAAUGUCGGUUCAAGUCCGACCUCUGCAACCA
rnacentral:tRNA from 1 species